rnacentral:rRNA from 1 species
GUUCGCCGCCCGCGACUCGGUGGGAAGUCCAUUGAACCUUAUCAUUUAGAGGAAGGAGAAGUCGUAACAAGGUUUCCGUAGGUGAACCUGCGGAAGGAUCAUUG